rnacentral:lncRNA from 1 species
ACGGCAUGGCGAAGACGGCAAUGCCAAAAGGAGACGAGUGUGCUGUGGGGUGCUAAAUAAAUUGUCAUGGGCACUAGCGGAAUUGAAUUCACCUCCCUUGUCAAGAGAUAAAGUGUCACCAUUGCCCCCAGCAGCAACUUUUUGGCACACCUGCCAAUCCCACUGAUACGUACUAAAAUGGUGAGCAAGGCUAGAAGUUGAAGAGAAGACAGCUGUUCUGACAUCAAUACCACACGUUCCUUUAUCCCACUGUUCUUUAAGAAGAAGUGACAGACACUUUACCAGGACAACAGAAAGAGGACUGAAUGAGGAAAUAGAAUCCAAGAUGGUUGGACUUGCAAAACGGUCUUGUGACCAGAAGAUCAUCGCAACCUCACCAAGCUUCUGAGUCAACACCAACUGCCCACCUUCAGAUUUCUUAUUUGGAAGAAAAAGUUCUCCUAUUGAUUUAAGCCACUGAUGACUUUUACUUGUUUUGAAGGCAUUGUUUUUGUUUUAAUUUUUUUAAUGUUUAUUUAUUUUUGAGAGAGAGAGACACACACACACAGAACAUUGAGGGGUGAGGGGCAGAGAGAGGGAGACACAGAAUCUGAAGCAGGCUCCGAGCUCUGAGUGGUCAACCCUACGUGAACCCACGAAGUGUGAGAUCAUGACCUGAACGAAGUCGGGCGCUUAACCAACUGAGCCACCCAGGUGAAAGCAUUGUUUUUUACAACUACUUUUGAAACUUCUUUAGAGAGUUCAUCACAAUUGACUGCUCUAGGAGUGUAUAUGAUUUUAUGAAAACAUAAAUUGAUUUUAAGUGAAUAUUUAAAAAAAUGUAGACUAUACAGUUGGAAAGGAC